GUGGGGAAUAUUGGACAAUGGGCGAAAGCCUGAUCCAGCCAUGCCGCGUGUGUGAAGAAGGUCUUCGGAUUGUAAAGCACUUUAAGUUGGGAGGAAGGGCAGUAAGUUAAUACCUUGCUGUUUUGACGUUACCGACAGAAUAAGCACCGGCUAACUUCGUGCCAGCAGCCGCGGUAAUACGAAGGGUGCAAGCGUUAAUCGGAAUUACUGGGCGUAAAGCGCGCGUAGGUGGUUUUGUAAGUUGGAGGUGAAAUCCCCGGGCUCAACCUGGGAACUGUCUCCAAAACUGCAUGACUAGAGUACGGUAGAGGGUAGUGGAAUUUCCUGUGUAGCGGUGAAAUGCGUAGAUAUAGGAAGGAACACCAGUGGCGAAGGCGACUACCUGGACUGAUACUGACACUGAGGUGCGAAAGCGUGGGGAGCAAACAGGAUUAGAAACCCUUGUAGUCC
rnacentral:rRNA from 1 species